AGGACCUCACUGUAUAACCCUGCUGGCCUUGGACUUUGGAUCUUCCUGUGUGGGUUUUCAGCAUGCUGAGAUUACAGUUUGCUCCACAAAACCUCCCUCAUUCUACAAAUGAGCUCUGUGAAUUAUUAGAGAAUUCAACUUCAACAAAUUCAAAUUCCACUUCAACACUGGAGAUCAAAAAUGAUCCAGAAAAUGUAUUCUGAUGCUGGUGAAUGCACUAAACAGAUGGAGAAAAAUAUCAUAAAACUUUCAGCCCUGGAGAGUCCAAUGAACAGACACAUGAGAAAGUGGUGACAAGGUGCCCGUGGGGACAAGUGACGAAUUCUGCACCACUUUAUCAAGAGCUGAGUAUCUAAAUACCUUCAAGCCAUUGACUGUCACCUUCCGCUCUUCUCAUCUCAGCCAGAGUUUUGAGAAGGAAGUGACCACUCUUCAAUUCAUUCUGCAGUCCCUCUGUAGGAAGUGCUGAUGCUCAGAUAACAGUCCAGGCACCUGACAGCACAAUCUGAGUAAACAACAGCAGCCAUGCACGUCUGACUCACUCCCCGAAGGUAUUUAUCAAGGGCCCAUUUGGAGUGCUGAAGGGGGAUGUGUGCUUUGGGGGUGAGGAGGAAGUACGCUAUAUUUCUAUGAGUUUUAUAACUAAUUGUCACAAACCCGGUGGCUGAAAAGAACAUACAUUUGUUGUUUCUUUGUAGUUUGUGAUGUUAGAAAGUUCAGUCCUACUGGCAUGGCAUGGCAUCCGGUGUUCUGGAAAGCCUGCCGG